CUGGGAUUACAGGCGUGAGCCACCGCGCCCGGCCAACAUUUACUUUUACAUACAAUGUUACAUAUAACAUUGUAUUAGGUGUUACAAGUAAUCUAAAUAUGAUUUAAAGCAUACAGGAGGAUGUGUGCAGGGUAUGUGCAAAUAUACACCAUCUGGCUGGACGCAGUGGCUCACGCCUGUAAUCUCAGCACUUUGGGAGGCUGAGGCAGGUGGAUCACCUGAGGUCAGGAGUUCGAGAACAGCCUGGCCAACAUGGUAAAACCCCGUCUCUACUAAAAAUACAAAAAUUAGCCUGGCCUGGUGGCAGGCGCCUAUAAUCCCAGUUACUUGGAAAGCUGAGGCGGAAGAAUCGCUUGAACCCGGGAGGCGGAGGUUGCAGUGAGCUGAGGUCAUGCCACUGCACUCCAGCCUGGGCAACAGAGUGAGACUCCAUCUUAAAAAAUAAUAAUAAUAAUUUCAACAACAACCCUUACUGUCAUAGACUUACAUACGUGUGUGUGUAUAAGCAGUGCAUGAAACAGUACAUCAGGUAAUAUUAAGUGCUAUCAAGAAGAAUAAAGAAGGGGGCCAGGCAUGGUGGCUCAUGCCUGUAAUCCCAGCACUUUGAGGCUGAGGCAGGUGGAUCAUUUGAGGUCAGGAGUUUGAAACCCGUCUGGCCAACAUGGAGAAACCCCAUCUCUACUAAAAAUACAAAAAUUUGGCUGGCCGUGGUGGCUCACACAUGUGAUCCCAGUACUUUGGGAGGCCAAGGCAGGUGGAUCACUUGAGGUCAGGAGUUCAAGACCAGGCGGACAGAUCACUUGAAGUCAGGAGUUCGAGACUAGCCUGGCAAAUAUGGCGAAACCCUGUCUACUAAAAAUACAAAAAAAUUAGCUGGGCGUGGUGGUGCAUGCCUGUAAUCCCAGCUACUUGGGAGGCUGCAGUAAGCCAAGAUUACACCACUGCAUUCCAGCCUGGACGACAGAGUGAGACUCCAUCUCAAAAAAAAAAAAAAAAAAAAAAUUGUUGGGUAAUUAUUCCAGCUACUCAGGAAGCUGAGGCAUUAGAAUUGCCUGGACCCAGGAGGUGGAGGCUACAGUGAGCUGAGAUGCACUAUUGCAUUCCAGCCUGGGUGACAGAGUGAGACUCUGUCUCAAAAAAAAAGAGAAGGGAAAGGGGCUACAGGAUCAUCAGGGGUGGUUUUUAGGUGGCAAAGUCAGAGACAGACUUUCUGAGGUGACAACUGAGUAGAGACCUAAAUGAAAGAAGGGAACAGGUCAUUCAGCACUGGAGCUGAGGGAAAGGCAGGUGAAAGGAGUGAAGCAUUUGUGGGCUGGGCUUGUUCAAGGCCACAGCACAGUGCCUGAGGGAGAGAGCUGUAAGAACUUAGGUUCCAGAGGCUGUGGGGAACCAGGUCUCAUAGGGCUUGAAAGACAUGAAAACUCUGGGUUUUAUUCUGUGAGAUGGGAAGAUAUUUGAGGGACAUCAGCUGACAUUUGAAAAGAAUGUCACAUCUAGUGGCAUUUAAGCUAUGUCUAACCUUUUCUAUAUAAGGCUUUAAUGAACCUCCUUGUACUCACAUUUUUUUUUUUUGAAACGGAGUGUCUGUCGCCCAGGCUGGAGUGCAGUGGCGCCAUCUCGGCUCACUGCAAGCUCCGCCUCCUGGGUUCACGCCAUUCUCCUGCCUCAGCCUCCAGAGUAGCUGGGACUACAGGUGCCUGUCACCAUGCCCGGCUAAUUUUUUUUUUUUUUUUUUGUAUUUUUAGUAGAGACGGGGUUUCACUGUGUUAGGCAGAAUGGUUUCGAACUCCCGACCUUGGCAUCCGCCCGCCUCGACCUCCCAAAGUGCUGGGAUUACAGGCGUGAGCCACCGUGCCUGGCCUGUACUCACAUUUUUUGUGUACAAUUCUAGAAGAGAAUACUGGAUCAGUUGAAUCUGUUCUUUAAUGGUACUAAAAUUUAGCUGAUCAUAAGGUUAGGAUCACCAACAUAGGUGAAGAAAGAAUGACUCUCGGCCGGGAGCAUAGGCUCACGCCUGUAAUCCCAGCACUUUGGGAGGCCAAGGCAGGUGGAUCACGAGGUCAGGAGUUCGAGAUCAGCUUGGCCAACAAGGUGAAACCCCGUCUCUACUAAUAAUACAAAAAUUAGCCGGGCAUGGUGGCACACACCUGUAGUCCCAGCUACAUGGGAGGCUGAGGCAGGAGAAUUGCUUGAACCUGGGAGGCAGAGGUUGCAGUGAGCUGAGAUUGUGCCACUGCACUCCAGCCUGGGCAACAGAGCGAGACUCCAUCUCAAAAAAAAAAAAGAAAAAAAAAAGAAUGACCCUCUUAAGCAUGAGUACAAAUAAAGACUAAUAGAAAAAUAAAAAGAAUAUUAAAAGAUGCCCAGUUAAGAGAGCAAGUAAAAUAAAUUAUAGGAAGAAACAGAUGCCACAAAUAAAGUCAAAGAGGAAAACUUACCAGUAAUCUAGAGCAUUCAAAAUCAGGAACAGAAAACGAUACAGAAGAAAGCGAGAAGCAAUAAGAAGGAACACCAUUUAGGGCUUAACUUCCCACCACCCCUCAGAGGAAAUCCUCCCUCUCUGCUUGUGAGACUGAGGUGACCAAAUACUUCAUUAAAUUCAGAAUCAACUGAUUUCCCACUGGGAACAUCUAUUUGUUGGAAAGAUCUUACCAAUAACUGAGAGGAGUUACAGGACUGUUAGAGGCUGAAUGUUUGUGUCCUCCCCAAAGUUCAUAUGUUAAAGCCCCAGUGCGCAAUAUGAAUAUUAGGAGUAAGGAAGUAAGUAAGAGUCCCUGAUGUGAAAGAGCUUACUCACUCUCUCUGUCAUGUGAGCACACAGACAGAAGGUGGCUGUCUGCUCAGGAAGAGAGCCCUCACCUGGAACCAAAUUGGCCACAUCUUGAUCUUGGACUUCCCGGCCUCCAGAAGUGUGAGAAACAAAUGUAUGUUGUUUAAGCCACCCAGUGUAUGGUAUUUUAUUGUGGUAGCCCAAGCAGACUAAUACAAGACCCAAGUGAUGAUUCUCCAGAAGGAGAAAAGAGCAAGUAAAUAAGAAUAAAACAAAUUAACAGACAAAAGCAAAAACACAACUUGACUCAUCUAUUAGUUCUACUUCUGAAAUUAGGGGAAAAAAUUAUAAAUGUGGAAAAAUUUUUACAACCAUUCAGUGCAACUUUAUUUAUAAUAAUGAAAAAAGAAGGGAAAAAACAUUAAGAGCAUGGUUAACUAUAUAUAGGUUACAUACCAGUCAGAACAGUGGCAAAUAACUCUUAAAAAACUGCAGAGAAAAAGAUCUGACAUGGUAUAUAAAUCAUAAAUGUUUAAAAUAUGAAGAGCAAAUUACUUAACCUAUCUUAGCUUAUCCUCAUCAGAAAUUGGGGCUAAAAAAAUUAGUACCUACCUUCUAAGGUGGUUUUGAGAAUUAAAUAAUACAUGUAAAACAACAAACACAGUACCUGGCACACAGUAAUAUGCAAUGAUUGUUGACUAUUAUUAGGAUUUUUCUUAAAAGAGGGUACAAUGUUGUAAAUUAUGGAUAUAGCACACCUGCAACUAUGAAAAUAAUGCAUAAAAGAACAGAAGGAAACAAGCUAGGAUGACUAUGUGAUUUUCCCCCUACUUCAAUGAAUUUUUCUAUUUUUCUUUAAUGAGCUACUGUGCUUUAGUGAACUAUUAUGUACUAUAACAAGAAAUGUAAUUAUGUGAAAGUGCGUAUGAGGCAAGGGAAAAAUUUAGUAAAUAUCCAAAGGAUAUCAGGAGUCAGUAACAGAACAUUAGUACAGUCCUUUUAUGUGGAGAUUAAGAAAAUAAAAGUUGCGGCUGGGUGCGGUGGCUCACGCCUAUAAUCCCAACAUUUUGGGAGGCCAAGGCGAGUGGAUCACCUGAGGUCAGGAGUUCAAGACCAGCCUGGCCAACACGGUGAAACCCCGUCUCUACUAAAAAUACAAAAAUUAGCCGGGCGUGGUGGCACGUGCCUGUAAUUCCAGCUACUUGGGAGGCAGAGACAGGAGAAUUGCUUGAACCGGGAGGCGGAGGUUGCAGUGAGCCGAGAUAGCGCCACUGCACUCCAGCCUGGGCGAAAGAGCAAGACUCUGUCUCAAAAAAAAUAAAAAUAAAAAUAAAAGUGGCUAAGAAAUAAUCAGUACUCAUUAAUUGAUUUUAAAUGUCAAGAACAUGAUGGUAUGGGUCUUCUCAAAAUGUGGCCUAUGGACCACCGACAUCAGAAUCACCGGCAGAUUCCUGAGUUCUACCUGCUAUCUACCAUAUCAGACUCUCUGGGAGUGAUGCCCCUAAAUCCACGUUUUUAAUUAGAGAUUGUUAGGACUGCUACAGCAGAGAGUGCCAGCUUUGUAAUCAUUAUUAUAAAACACAAUAUAUCUAGGUUCAAAUCCUAGCUCUACCAUUUAUCAGUUUUGUGAUAGUGGGGAAAAGUUACCCAACCUUAUUGUACCUCAGCUGUCUUAUCUGAAAUACAGGGAAAAUAUGACUUAUUUGGAAGGCUUAUUGCAAUAAAAUAACACCUAUAGCCUAAAAUAGUUCAGGACACUGUGGGUGUAUAAUGCAGUACCUGUAUUAUAAAAUACAACCAGGCCGGGUGUGGUGGCUCACGCCUGUAAUCCCAGCACUUUAGGAGGCCAAGGUGGGUGAAUCACGAGGUCAGGAGUUCGAGACCAGUCUGGCCAACAUGUUGAAACCCUGUCUCUACUAAAAAUACAAAAAAUUAGCUGGGCAUGAUGGCAGGUGCCUGUAAUUCCAGCUACUUGGGGGGUUGAGGCAGGAGAAUUGCUUGAACUCAGGAGGCAGAGGUUGCAGUGAGCCGAGAUCAUGCCACUGCACUCCAGCCCAGGUGACAGAGUGAGACUCCGUCUCAAAAAACAAAUAAAUAAAAUAAAAUAAAAUGUAACCAAGGCUGGUCCGAAUGUAGUGAGUUAUCUCAAUUGAUUGUUCACAGUCAGUUACAGAUCAAACUCCUUGUUCUAUUCUUCCCCUCCUUCUCACUACUGCCCUUAACUAGUCUUAAAAAAACAAAAAAAACAAAAAAAAAACAAAAAAAAACACAAGUAAUCAGAGUUGCAAUGACAAAAUGUUAAAACUGAAAACAAUCUGAUCAACAUCUUAAUGCAAGGUUAACGGGCAAUGAACCUGGGAAGUCAUAAGUGUUCUUUCUAGAAAGGCAUGACACAGUCAAUAUUUAAAUCUAUAAUACAAACUAGGAAAUCUAUUAUGUAAGUGAAAUAGAUAACAUCCACCUGCACACUUGUCAGUUGAAAAAUGUGCAGUAAAACUAUGCAUGAUUGGCUAGUUACAGUAUUUCAGUAAAUAUCAGUAUCACUAGUUGUUCAUCUGCUGGCACUUGGUAGUAGGAAGUUGGGGAAAAAAAGCCAGAGAAAACCCUAAAAUUCAGAACAUUUUAUUUUUACUGUUCUCUAUGAAUUAAAAAGCCAAUUUUUUCAAUUUUAGCAAAUUUAGAAAAAUUUUCCAUUUUUCAUUAUAGCUUGAUGAAAAGAAGUAUUCUGUGAUCCCUGUUUGAGAACCACUGUUAGUCUAACUUCCUCUCUUUGCGUAAGAAAAAUCUGAGGCCUGGCUGGGCACGGUGGCUCAGGCCUGUAAUCCCAGCACUUUGGGAGGCUGAGGCAGGUGGAUCACGAGGUGAGGAGAACGAGACCAGCCUGGCCAACAUGGUGAAACCCCGUCUCUACUAAAAUACAGGUGGUGUGUGCCUGUAGUCCCAGCUGCUCAGGAGGCUGAGGCAGGGAAGUCACUUGAACCCGGGAGGCAGAGAUUGCAGCGAGCCGAGAUCGUGCCACUGCACUCCAGCCUCGUGACAGAGUGAGACUCUGUCUAAAAAAAAAAAAAAGAAAAAAAAGAAAAAUCUGAGGCCUAAAAAGGUUUUAUUAUUUUCCCAAAGCUACAGAGAGUGGCAAAGACAGACACGGAGCUUGGAUAUUUCAAUUCCUAACCCCAUUCUCCUUCCACAAGAUAACACUGUCUCUACCACUGUAAGGUCAUUCACAAAAGCAUAUUUUUAAAUUAUUCCUACCUAAAUCUUAUUUUUUGAAAUAGGUCAAAAAGGCACAAGGUUCAAGACCAGUGAGUUAUAAAAGAGAGAACGUUCAGUAAAGAAAACUCCCUCCCAUUCCUGUCUCUCAGCCACCCCAUCCUCCUCCUAAAUAUAAUCAAUGCUAUAAGCUUCUUGGGAUAACUGGUUUCUUAAAAGGUUUCCACUUACCUUCGUUCAACAGGUACAGGCAUGGACCAGACUUCUCCCUCAGAAGCUGGAAGGUCAUGCUGUGCCGCUUUCAAGGGAGUGCUGUCCAGUUUAAAGCUCUCUAGUGUUUUCAUGAUAUCUUUAACAUGUUUAGCUUCCACAUUUAUUUCCUGCCAAACCUGAUUUCAAAGAAGAAGAUGGAUGUUUAAAUUUCUAUAAUAUAUCACUGUCAAAAUUAAAUGAGGGCCAUUUACUAGAGAUGUUACAAAACUCCAUUUUGAUAUCAGAUAUCCAGUAAACCACAUCAAGAUAUUCUAUCAAAAUGUUAAUAACAGUUUAUUAAAUUUAUGUUUUCAAUUGCAAUUUUUUUUUUUUUUUUUUUUGGAGAUGGAGUCUCACUCUGUCGCCCAGGCUGGAGUGCAGUGGCGUGAUCACUCUCGGCUCAUUGCAAGCUCUGCUUCCUGGGUUCAGGCCAUUCUCCUGCCUCAGCCUCCCGAGUAGCUGGGACUACAGGCG
rnacentral:lncRNA from 10 species